GGACCAAGGAGUCUAGCAUGUGCGCGAGUCAUUGGGACUAUCGAAUCCUAAAGGCGAAAUGAAAGUGAAGGUUGAGCUACGCUCGGCCGAGGGAAGAUGGGCGGCUUCGGCCGCCUCGCAUUCCCGGGGCGUCUCGUUCUCAUUGCGAGAAGAGGCGCACCUAGAGCGUACACGCUGGGACCC
rnacentral:rRNA from 1 species